rnacentral:rRNA from 1 species
AGGUGCGAUCAUACCAGCACUAAUGCACCGGAUCCCAUCAGAACUCCGCAGUUAAGCGUGCUUGGGCGAGAGUAGUACUAGGAUGGGUGACCUCCUGGGAAGUCCUUGUGUUUCACCUCU